rnacentral:rRNA from 1 species
GUGUCAGCAGCCGCGGUAAUACGAAGGGUGCAAGCGUUAAUCGGAAUUACUGGGCGUAAAGGGUGCGUAGGCGGCCUUUUAAGUCGGAUGUGAAAUCCCCGGGCUCAACCUGGGAAUGGCAUCCGAUACUGGGAGGCUAGAGUUUGGGAGAGGGUGGUGGAAUUCCCGGUGUAGCGGUGAAAUGCGUAGAGAUCGGGAGGAACAUCAGUGGCGAAGGCGGCCACCUGGCCUAAAACUGACGCUGAAGCACGAAAGCGUGGGGAGCAAACAGGAUUAGAAACCCCCGUAGUCC